GGGGGCGUAGUUCAAUCGGUAGAACGCAUGUUUUGCAAGCAUGAAGUUAUCGGUUCAAGUCCGGUCGUCUCCA
rnacentral:tRNA from 1 species